rnacentral:rRNA from 1 species
GAUGAACGCUGGCGGCGUGCCUAAUACAUGCAAGUCGAGCGAACAGACGAGGAGCUUUCUCCUCUGACUUUAUCGGCGGACGGGUGAUUAACACGUGGAUAACCUACCUAUAAGACUGGGAUAACUUCGGGAAACCGUAGCUAAUACCGGAUAAUAUAUUGAACCGCAUGGUUCAAUAGUGAAAUACGGUUUUGCUUUCACUUAUAGAUUGAUCCGCGCCGAAUUAGCUAGUUGGUAAGGUAACGGCUUACCAAGGCAACGAUGGGUAGCCGACCUGAAAGGGUGAUCGGCCACACUGGAACUGAGACACGGUCCCGACUCCUACGGUGGGCAGCAGUAGGGAAUCCUCCGCGAUGGGCGAGAGCCUGACGGAGCAACGCGGCGUGAGUGAUGAAGGUCUUCGGAUCGUAAAACUCUGUUAUUAGGGAAGAACAAAUGUGUAAGUAACUAUGCACGUAUUGACGGUACCUAGUCAGAAAGCCACGGCUAACUACGUG